rnacentral:lncRNA from 1 species
CUAGCCAAUUAUCAUAUCAAAGAUGGAUUCCAGUCUACAAUCGAAUUACAUUACAUACCAUGAUCAACAACAUGGUUCAUUCAGAUAAUAAAAUAAAACACCAAACAAAAGUAAUUACUACCCUUAAAAGCUAAAACCUUCAAAUUAUAAUCAUUGUUUAGUGUUCCCUGGCGACUUGUUAAGUAUUCUCAGAAACAAAACCAUUAACAAUAUGGUUCAUGUCCAAAAUCCUUGGGAUGUACAUUGACAAGAGACCUGAGAUCGAUUCAAAUUGGUUACUCAAAACUCAUAUUGCACCUGCAAAUCUUGAGAUUAGUCUUGAGCUUCUACACCAAACCAAUGUCUGUCUCUUUUCUUGCUUCCUCUCAAACCAUAUC